rnacentral:rRNA from 1 species
UACGAAGGGGGCAAGCGUUGUUCGGAAUUACUGGGCGUAAAGGGCGCGCAGGCGGCCAGACAAGUCAGAUGUGAAAGCCCCGGGCUCAACCUGGGAAUAGCAUUUGGGACUGUUUGGCUAGAGAUCGGGAGAGGAGAGUGGAAUUCCCAGUGUAGAGGUGAAAUUCGUAGAUAUUCGCAAGAACACCAGUGGCGAAGGCGGCUCACUGGCCCGGUACUGACGCUGAGGUGCGAAAGCGUGGGGAGCAAACAGG